AGAGUUUGAUCAUGGCUCAGGAUGAACGCUAGCGGCAGGCCUAAUACAUGCAAGUCGAGGGGCAGCACAGGUAGCAAUACCGGGUGGCGACCGGCAAACGGGUGCGGAACACGUACGCAACCUUCCUUCGAGUGGGGAAUAGCCCAGAGAAAUUUGGAUUAAUACCCCGUAAGAUCGUGGACUGGCAUCAGUCAGCGAUAAAAGCUCCGGCACUUGAAGAUGGGCGUGCGCCUGAUUAGGUAGUUGGUGAGGUAACGGCUCACCAAGCCGACGAUCAGUAACUGGCGUGAGAGCGCGACCAGUCACACGGGCACUGAGACACGGGCCUGACUCCUACGGGAGGCAGCAGUAAGGAAUAUUGGUCAAUGGACGCAAGUCUGAACCAGCCAUGCCGCGUGGAGGAUGAAGGUCCUCUGGAUUGUAAACUUCUUUUAUCUGGGAAGAAAUGUGGAUUUUCUAAUCUAUUUGACGGUACCAGAUGAAUAAGCACCGGCUAACUCCGUGCCAGCAGCCGCGGUAAUAC
rnacentral:rRNA from 1 species